GUCAUGUGACUGCCUGUAUAAUCCAAAAUUCUGUGUAGUGGAACAGAGACAGUUUUUGCUAUGAAAUACCUCACUGUGUAUGGGGGGCUGGGGGAGCCACAACGAUACAAAGAGCAUAAGGACCAGUAUAAAAACCCAAAGAAGGAAUAAAGUUACAAAGUAAAUGUACCUCUGGAUCCCCUCAUGAACUUGCACCCAUGGAUAAUCAGGCCAACUAUCUAGUGAUCUAUCUCUAGAUUUACGACAAGUUUGAACACCAUGAAAGAGUGAGUUAUUGGAAUAAGUCUUAGCAGUGUGACGACGGCAACUGGACCUGGGACAGCUCUCACAGUUCGACCAAAAUUAGUUGAGAAAUCAACUACAUCACAAGAUGGUGGCACCACUGUGAAAACAACACCUUUGCCAACGAUUUUCCAUACCAAGAACAUCAGCUCUGAGGAACAGAACACAACAGACCUGAUCUGCAUGGACAAGUUUGACAGCAGCAUGGUAACAAUCCUGCCAGACCCUGAAGAGCAGAGAGUGAACAUGCUGUCCAUGGCUGUGCUGGGUUUGAGAGUCCUGCUGGCAAAAGGCAUUGCCUUCAAUAUCCUCAUGAGUAUCAAAUGGUUUCUUUUCUGAGACAUGGGGAAUGAACCCGAAGGAGAGCAGGAAAGAAUGUGAACCAGCAGAACAAGGGGGUGGAACAAGCAGGGGCAGAGCUGCUGACAGACACCACCCAGGACACAAGGCAGCACCUUCCCCUGAAGACACUGAACACUGUUCACUCCUGCCUGGCCAGCUGAUUUACACUGAAGAGUUUCAAGUGCUUUUGCUGCUUCCUCUCCUCUGACAACUGAGGAGAGUGGAUUUCUCCUCAUCCUCCUGCUAAGCAGAUCUCCCCACUCUUCUGGCAUUUGCACACAAGUGUCCAACCUGCUUCAACAGCUUUGGAAACUCCAGGGCUCUCUCUAGAUAGAUGGCCUUUUAAAAGCACCUUUCCCAGGCAUGCUGUGUUUCUGCCUGUGGAACUGGAGAAGCACUGCUGGGGCAAUUCGAGCCCAGUAGCUGCCAUUUGUAGCUUUGGGUUUUAGAUAGAUUCAAUGAAUGUGUCUUGCAGAUAAGAAGAGCUCUGUAAAAUCUGGAGUGAUUUAAUUUAUCCAGAUCAAUUUCUGGAUUAAGCCUUUAUUUAUUCUGCCAAAUGUAUUGCAUGUGAAUUUUAGGUUCUUGUAGUAGUGACAAAAAUAAAGUUUUA